CCUACGGGAGGCAGCAGUGAGGAAUAUUGGUCAAUGGCCGUAAGGCUGAACCAGCCAAGUCGCGUGAAGGAAGAAGGAUCUAUGGUUUGUAAACUUCUUUUAUCGGGGAAUAAAGGUAUCCACGUGUGGAUAUUUGCAUGUACCCUAUGAAUAAGCAUCGGCUAACUCCGUGCCAGCAGCCGCGGUAAUACGGAGGAUGCGAGCGUUAUCCGGAUUUAUUGGGUUUAAAGGGUGCGUAGGUUGUUUUUUAAGUCAGCGGGGAAAGUUUGUGGCUCAACCAUAAAAUUGCCGUUGAAACUGGAAGACUUGAGUGUGUUUGAGGUAGGCGGAAUGCGUGGUGUAGCGGUGAAAUGCAUAGAUAUCACGCAGAACUCCGAUUGCGAAGGCAGCUUACUAAGCCAUAACUGACACUGAAGCACGAAAGCGUGGGGAUCAAACAGGAUUAGAUACCCGGGUAGUC
rnacentral:rRNA from 1 species